AGGCGAAACCCCUGAAAGGGGGUCGCGGGGGAGUGGUGUCCCCCGCCUGACGAAGCCAGCCCUAC
rnacentral:hammerhead_ribozyme from 1 species